GAAAUGCGAUAAGUAAUGUGAAUUCCAGAAUUCAGUGAAUCAUCGAAUCUUUGAACGCACAUUGCGCCCGCCAGCACUCUGGCGGGCAUGCCUGUUCGAGCGUCAUUUCAACCCUCAGAACCCCUUGCGGGAUCUGGCGUUGGGGAUUGGCAUCCAGCCAGCCCCGAAAUCUAGUGGCGGUCCCUCCGCGACCUCCCCUGUGCAGUAGCGAUACCUCGCAGCGGGACAGCGGUCUGACCACGCCGUAAAACCCCCAACUUCUCAAGGUUGACCUCGAAUCAGGUAGGAAUACCCGCUGAACUUAAGC
rnacentral:misc_RNA from 1 species